rnacentral:ncRNA from 1 species
CUCGAGAAGGGCAAACCCGCCGCGAGGCGGCGACGCAAAACCACGGGUCAGGCGACGAGCCUGACAGCCGGGUUGCCGAAG